GACGAACGCUGGCGGCGUGCUUAACACAUGCAAGUCGAACGGAAAGGCCCUGCUUUUGUGGGGUGCUCGAGUGGCGAACGGGUGAGUAACAAGUGAGUAACCUGCCCUUGACUUUGGGAUAACUUCAGGAAACUGGGGCUAAUACCGGAUCGGAGCUCCUGCUGCAUGGUGGGGGUUGGAAAGUUUCGGCGGUUGGGGAUGGACUCGCGGCUUAUCAGCUUGUUGGUGGGGUAGUGGCUUACCAAGGCUUUGACGGGUAGCCGGCCUGAGAGGGUGACCGGCCACAUUGGGACUGAGAUACGGCCCAGACUCCUACGGGAGGCAGCAGUGGGGAAUAUUGCACAAUGGGCGGAAGCCUGAUGCAGCAACGCCGCGUGCGGGAUGACGGCCUUCGGGUUGUAAACCGCUUUCGCCUGUGACGAAGCGUGAGUGACGGUAAUGGGUAAAGAAGCACCGGCUAACUACGUG
rnacentral:rRNA from 1 species